rnacentral:rRNA from 1 species
CUGCGGUUAAAAGGCUCGUAGUUGAACCAAGCGGAAAUAUAAUUUCUUGCGAUAUUGACAGGAACCCUAUUACUAUAUCACAUAACAUAUAUACUUGCCAUAGGUGAGCUUAUAAACGUCUGCCUAUAGGCCGCAAUAAAGCUAAACCCGGAGACGGUCCCCUUAAGGUGCGUAUGUGCGCGUAGUUCCGCACAAGCAGACUUUUGGUAAAUCAGAGUGCUCAAAGCAGU